ACUUCAAUUCUAAAAACAAUAUGUUCUAAAAAUCUAAUUUCUAAAAAUCCAAUUAAAAUUCUAAAAGUUUAUAAAACUAUAAUUAAUUAGUAUUUUAAUCUUCACUUUGACAUCUGAUGUAUUUCGAUCUUCACUUCGAAAUUCCUUCUCCCAUUCUCGAAGGAGCUUCAAGCGAAAGCCAAUAAACAUUUUUGAAUUUCAUGCUGAGAUCGAGUUCAUUCCUCAACUUUAUUCACUCCGAUUCGAAUCUUGACUCAAUAGCAACAACAGGUGAAACAUGGAAGGGUGAAUUUGCUUGCAUUGGACAUGGUUCGAAGAACUUGGCAUGCUUAGAAUGAUUAUGCACUAAUAGAAAUUAUAAUUUUGAAAUUUUGGUUUGUAACUUUGAAUGAAAAUGCUAUCAAUUAAAAUUAUAAACAUGGGUUGGCUUGUAAUCUGAAAAGUGAUAUGAUGACAUGAUAAGGUUUCUAAGAUCUAAAGUGACUAAAUACUUGUAUAAAUAAGGUGUCUCUCGAUCCAUGUUUUCUAUAAAACACACAACAACCAAAUAAUGAAUGCAUAUUCAUACCUUGUAUUUGUGUA